AGUUUUCUUGGAGACUGCUGAUUACAGACUUGAUUAAGUUGUCACACUGGUUGGCAGUUAUCUACCAGAGAUUAACCUUACUCCCUUUAUGUGGAAGAAGUUACGUUUUGAGAGCUGAAUAGGAACCACAUGAAGAAGGCAGAUAUAAAUGUUCGUAAUACAAAUCUGCAAUGCUGUUUUUGCUGACCUUUCCUCCCCCUUCCCCAGUCAGGCCAGCCCUCAAGAGUCCCUGACCAAGGAGACCAGGAAGAAAGUCUGGAGUAAGGAAGAGUUUCCCUUGGUUAAGAAGGAUCAGAUUAGUGAUGAUUCAGGUAAACUUGACAUCCACAAGUCCAUGGGCCCUGAUAGAAUGCAUCCAUGAGUGCUGAGAUAGCUGGUGGACUACAUUACCAGGCCACUCUUGAUCAUCUUUAGAAGGUAAUGGCCAUCAGAAGAGAUGCAUGAAGUCUGGAAGAAAGCAAAUGUGACCCUCGUCAUCAAAGGGCAAGAAGGAAGACUCACAAAACUACAGGCCAGUCAGCCUCAUCUCAGUCCCUGGAAAGGGGGGUGGAACAGUCAUCCUGGAGGCCAUCUCUGAGCGUGUAGAAGACAAGAAGGUGAUCAGGAGUAGUCAGCACAGAUUUAUCAAAGGGAAAUCAUGCUUAACCAAACUGAUUCCGCUUCUAUGAUAGGAUAACUGGUUGCAUAGAUAAGGGGAGAGCAGUGGAUGUUGUCUACCUUGACUUCAGCAAGGUUUUUGAUACUGCCUCCUAUACUAUCCUCAUAUUGUGAUGGACAGUGUGUUGACCAUGAGUCAGCCACGUGCCUUUGUGGCCAAGAAGGCCAUUGGUAUCUGAGUUGCAUUAGAGCAUUGCCCUCAGGUUGAGGGAGGUGAUCCUCCCACUCUACUCAGUCCUGGUGAGGCCUCGCCUAGAGUACUGUGUACAGUUCUGGGCUUCCCAGUGCAAGAUAUGGACAUACUGGAGAGAGUCCUGUUGAGGGCAACUAAAACAAUUAAAGGACUGUAGCACUUCUGCUAGGAGGAAAUACUGAGGGACCUGGACCUGUACAGCUUAGAGAAGGCUCUGGGGGAGUAUCAUCAAUGUGUAUCUGAAGGGAGGUAGUCAAGAGGAUGGUCUCCCACUGACUCUUCUCAGUGUGGUGCACAGUGAUAAGGCAAGAAGAAACAGGCACGGACUGAAACACAGAGAAGUUCUGGCUGGAGAAGUAAAAGCUUCUUUACUGUAAUGGUAACUGAGCACUGGAAGAGACUGCCCAGAGAAGCUGUGGAAGCUCCUUCCCUGGGAUCUUCAAAAGCAGCCUUUACACAAUCCUAGGUGAUGUGCUCCAGGGAACCAAGCUUGAGCAGAGAGGUUGGACUAGUUUAUCUCCAGAGGUUCUUUCCAGCCUCAGAAGUAAAGAAAAAAAUAUGAUAGAAAUAUCUCAGUUACAAUAUCAAUAAUGUCCAUGAAGUAUUGUAUUCUUGCAUUUAUCUUUGCAAAAGCGAUGCUCAGGUAGAGCUUUGCAUUCACACUUCAUGAAAAUGUUUGUUAACAGCUCUUGAAUUCAAGCAUCUGGGUGCAGAUAAUUGCCUCUAGGCCAGUACUACCCUUUGGAUUUGGAGAUAUUUCGAAGUAUUGAAUGCUAAAUCGUUGACUCAGAUGACUAUAAGUUUUCUCAGUCAGUUUUUAUGGAUAAGAGAGCUCUGGAGAAGAAGUAGAACAUGCUGAACAGGUAAGUAAAGCUGUAUUGUUAUUAUGUAAAAUCUGUAGGAAAGUUGUGUUGAUAUGAGGUGCUCAUUUUGAGACUAUGUGAACAGGUAAACAUUUGCUAAAAGCAGGAAAUAAAAUUUCAGAGCAUACAGUUACACACUAUUUCCUAUGUUAUUUUUAGAAGAAUAUUUUUGGUCAUAGGUAAAACAAAAUGACAUUACUAUAGACAAUGUUUGUUCAAACUACAGUUGUGACAAGAAUGGAAAGGUAAGACUACCACAAGCAGUAGCCUUCAGUUGUAACACGCUUUUGCAUAAAAUCCUAUAAAUCUCCAUUGUUUUCAUAGGUAGUUGAAUUUUGGCUUGAAUGAACCUAAAUCCUUCAUGUACCUGGGAGUAGGGAAAUGGGAUUUUCAUCCCACGUUAUUCUCCUGUGUGGCACUGGCUUGGCCAUUGCCACCCACAGAGAACUUCAGUGCACUGAUGAUGAAGUUUGAAGAGGAAUCCCCUGAAGUUUUGGUUAGUCCAUUUAAUAAAUCACAUACAACAAAAAAGAAUAUUCCCUUAUGCCAAAGGGAAGUGAUAAAAAGUGAAGUAUGUGGGUCCGUCUGGUCAGAGUCUCAUAAAAAUGUGUUUACUCUUUGUUUUACGUACCCUCUCUGUGUUGAUAUGACAUAAUUCUCUAUAAAGGUAGGAAUACUGUGCAUACACAACUAUAAGUUUGUAUGAGAUACAGUGAAUAUCCCAUGAGAGAGAACAAGACAUAAUUUAAAGUUGAAACAAGGAGUGAUUUAUGAAGGUCAUUGUCUUAGUGAUUCAGAUACUUUCCAUAUGUUGUAGAAACCCAUUUUUGUAUGGUAUGCAUAUAAUGUGUAGCAAAUUCGUUUCUACAUAAGUUUCCUCUAAAAUGCUUUGAUUUAAAAAUCGUGGUGUAUUUUUAUCUCAUCUGUGAUAUCUCAGUUUACUUUUAUUGAAAGUAUACUUUAACAUGGCAGAUUUUGAGAUGACUCUACUGAAGUUUGGUUUGGUUGACAAUAAACCUGGAGGUACUUCUGAUGCUAAAACAUCCUAUUGCACCAGAUUUAUAGCUUUACUUCUGUAUCAUGCUUAGGUGAUACAUAGUAUGCUCUGAAUCAUGCUUGAAGCCCUGAAGGAACUGACCAAGUAUGAAAGGAACAGAUUUUUUUUUCUUACCAGCUGCAGCAACUUAUAAUUCUGUAUCUCAUUUUAUUUUAGAAAUCGCUUGAAGAUGGAACUACUUAUAUUAAAGCUAUGUGAUGGGAACAUGAUCAUUAAGAAUACAUUACUGUUUGAGGCAUUAAAAUAUUCAAUUUAAUUUACUAUAAUGUAUAAAAUACUUUUAUUGCAGGAAACUUUAUUUUACUGAUUGCUUAGUAAGUGAAGGGACAUUUAUUAACCAAAUAAAUCAACACCACCCAUGGCAGCUUGCCCCUGAAGUAUCUACUAAGGAGAGAGAGAUGAAAAAACCAUGAGGAAAAAAUUAUCUGAGAAUGAAGCUUAUUCAUGAGCAGGAGACUGAAGAAAUGUGUAUGGUUAUUCUACUCUCAGAAAAGGAUCCGAAGUGGAAAUGAGAGGAAAAGAGAACAACACCCAGAAACCAAGUGGCUAAUGGUGGUGAGUUUUCAUUUUUAUCUUUUUUUCUGCAAUUAUUUUCUGUCUUUUUUCUUCUUUGAUGUGAGCUUUGCUUUGCAAAUGGAUUUUUAAGCUAUUUCGUCUAGGUCUUCAGUAUGGAUGGGAGUCUUUUCCAUCUGAUCACGUCCAUCAUGUUUAAAAAGCACAAGCAGGUUGUAUGACCUCUGGUAUUUUCUAGUAAGGUAUUGUGCUCUAUUUUAUUAAAUUACACAAGUGAGCAGUCCAGGCUGUGUUAAGUAAACAAUAUGUGACCAGCUGAAAGGUUCAUAACUCAGUGGAGCAGUAAGGUUAAAAUGGAAGAGAUAAGAAUGUGACUUGGAUGUACGGAGCAUCAAGGCCUACUUUCCAAGUUAUCUGCAAUUCACCGCAAAUAUUCCAAAGCAGCAAUAGAUGUUGUUCCACAUGUCAUUUGUUAUCACCUCUUUUCCCACUAAAAUGCUUGAGUGUUGCUGCUCAGCAGUGUUUGGCAAAGAUUCUGACGUUUGGGGUGUUACUCCACUUUUAGAGAUCCUUGCUUGCUGAGCCUGGUUUGAGGGAAGGGUGUGGAUGCUUGAUUUUUUUCUUACUUAUUUCCUGCACGCACAUGAAGUACAUUAGAGUAAAAACUUUCAAUAAUUUGUCAUCCUUGAAAGUUAUGACUUUUAAUUCACUAGAAAAUAUGAUCUUUUCUAUUGUCACUCGAAUGUGCAUAGGGUUAGUUGUGCAGCAUAAGUAGCUAUAAUUAUGAAUUCUUAAAAACAUUUGUACAUAAAGUAAAAAAAAAAAGUAUGUGUGUAUAUAUAAAUAAAGAACAAAUGAAUUGUAACUUGAUAAUAUCACAGGGCUCCUAUAUAUCAAAUUUUAAAAAAACCCAACAGUAUAAUAUCUACAUAGAGCUAAACCUUCCAAGAUGGAUUACUUUGGUGAACAAUCUAGGGUCACCUCUAUUAGCAUAUGCUAGAUACCAGAGAAAUUGUUCAAAAAGCCUUGUAUUGUAGUGUCUGUCUUAGGGAGGGUUCUCCUCCUUAUUCGGGGGUAAAAGAAUCGUGCCCUGAAGUCAGUGGGAAAUUUGUCACAGGGAGAAAAUACAGGGUUACAAGCUUAUUUGCCUAGCACUUGAACAAUUUUCAAGCCUGAGCUUCUCCCUAAUAGUUAAUGUUGUCACAGUCUUUGUAUUACAUUAAUAAAUGCAUCUGUCAGGGAGGCAUUUCUCUACUCUGAUAAAGCAAUGUGACUUUUGUUACUUUUAGUCUGUGAAAUUACUUUUCGUAUGUUUCAUAACAUGUAAAGUAGUGACAGUACAGUGCACUUUACCAGAGGGAUUCCUAAUAUUCAUUGAAAUAUCAUAUUUCUGGUAAAUUGCUAAAAGAUACCAAAACCUGAGAUUACUUACAAAAGAAACCCUAAUAAAUGUUUAAUUUCAAUAUAUGUCUGAAUGCUCUGUGACAAAUAAUUGUGUAGAAAUCAAUCUAGAAAUCAAGGUCUUGUUGCUACCUAGGCCCACCUCUCAUUAAAUAUGCUGAAAAAGUUAUGGUCUCAAGAUAGACUUUAUGGUUUAUUCAUACUUAAUUUCUGAAACAAAUGGCCUGAUUUUGGACAGCUCUAUGCUUGUAGUAGUAACGUUUACUUGAAAUUGAGCUGAAUAGUUAAUGACUGUUAGCGUGAAGGAACAGUUAUGGAAGGACAGGAACAGGACAUAGCUCUAGAAGCAGCAGUUGCAGCACAUCUCAAGCCUAGCUGCAUAUGCUCUUAGGGUAAAGAAAAAAAGUCUAUUAGUAGACUUAUUUUUGCUUUGGUGAGGAUAUAAAAAUAGCAUUUGUGGUUAUAGGAGUGAUCCCUAAAGGUCACUCAAAAAUUCUGGCUCCAUACAGCUGCUCGUUUGUGAGAGCUAGUUUUAGCAGCUGGAGUGAGACUUACAGUGAGACUUGCAGCUCCUUUCUCCCUUUCUUCAUGGCUUUUCCUCAAAUGUUUCUAAGACUCACUGUUGCAAUAAUAUAGAGAUCUCACAGUUAUCAGAUCCAGCCCAGAACUUUCAUUGAUCACUACUUAAGAACACUGCAGGUUGUGCAACAUAUGACUUGUUUUCAUCCUUGUACAAAGCAUUUCUUGCAUGGUGGUCCAUGACUCUGGAGACUAGACUCAGCACUAAUUCCUUUUGUUUCUCUUUUUUGUCCCUCCCUGAACUCUAGAAAGAUGUCUUCAUUUUACACCUCCUUAAUGUCAAGUCAGAACCCCUUUUCCAAGUAGCUUUUCCAGGUUGCAGCAGCUGAGGAACAAGCUGGUCUUCCCUGUUUGUACUGGGUUUUGAUUUGUUCAUCAAUUUCCUUUGCUUUCAUCAAUUUCCGAUGCUUUGUUUAGUUGCCCUGUCACAGAGAAUCUGCAAACACAAUGACAAAGGCUCCUGAGGAAUUUCUUUGACAAAGGAAAAAUUCCUGAGUGGCACAAAUCAUUCUCUUUCAUUCCUCGAGUGCUCCUAGUCUGAAUAUUUCCAGUGCAAAGGGAACACAGUCCUAUUACUUCUUUGAUUCAGCUAUUCUGACUUCUGGAGCAGCUUUAUUUCAUAACACACUUCUACUUUUAUUUAGGAAUUUACAGCCUAGAGAUAGAAUUUAAAUGGCUAUCCUUUCCCUUUCCAAGUACACACCUUUAAUGGAUUUAUAUUCAGUGUAGUAGUUUGACAGCAUGUUUUUUCAGCUGAGGUUCAUGACAGAUCAUCAGGUAGAGAGUAGUGGUACCUUACAUAGUGGUAAAAAGGAGCUUCUGAAGAAAUAAAGAAGGAAAUUUAGACAUAUGUGGAUUCAUCAAUGAAUCUGCUAGGAUACUGAGUAUUUUUAUGUUGUCCAAAGAUUUAGGGUAAAAUGUAGUUGCAUUCAUUAUGUACACUAAUAACUUGUGUUGACUGACCUAGAUUGAUAAAUAUGUUACUAUAGACAGCCUAGUAUGUAGCUGUGUUUGCAACUGUACGCUAGAACGUAAAGAGUGAAGGAUCACAUGGAAAACAUUAAAAGUCUGCAUGGGAACCUACUAAGCUGUAUCAUUUAGACUAAUGCCUUGUGCUAGUUACCCUGUAGAAAAUUGCUCGUGCCAGUAUAAAAUCAAAAUGAAAAGGCUAGGAUUGUUUCCUAUAGACAAGAUGCUAAAAAGAACUGCAGCAAUUAAAUUAAAAAAGGUUCAGAGAGUGUAGUGCAGCAUGGAAACAUUCAUGAAAUUUCAAGAAAGCAGAUUCAAAAUUGAUGGAAAGAAUACCAACAUAACAUGUGGUUGGGAACUCCACCAUUUAAUAAGUCAUGGAAGACAGAAAUUUAGUGAGUGGAAAACAAAUUGGAUGUUUUAGAUAACAACACCAACAAAAAAAAGCAGAAUUAUCUGAACUGAUUUUAGUAACCGUAGAAGUUUUGUUCCCUGUCUCAGAGAUUCUAAGAGUUUUCUGGUUGGAAAGUUUAUCUGAGUACAAGAGAGGAAAAAAAUAAAUUUAGCAUGUAAAAAAUCUGUCCAGCAUAGCUCCUAAUCUUGGAUUCUGUCUUUAGGGAUGAGACAGAAAGGAGCAGAUGCAGAGAUCUGGCCCUUCUCACAGGCAGCUGAUUAUUCUACAUGUACUUUUCUCAGGACUUCUGAUUGCUUAUUGCUUUAUCAGGUGUUGGUGACUGUAAAUGCUAGGACACUCGUGCUUAAUUUGGGGACUGAUACUACAAUCCAAUAUUUUUAAACUGCAAAUAACCUGCUACAGUGUAAUAUGGAUGAGUUUAGUGUUUUGAUGUACGUAAGCCAUGACAUUAAAAUGUGAUAUGAAACUAAAUUCUAAGGCAACGAUUUUCUCUUAAUCUAUCUAAAAAUGAGUUGAAGUCGUUGAUCUGGGAUCUGAUACAACCUUCAACUUUCACAGUUGGAUUAGAUGAUCUUAGAGUCAUUAAGGUUAGAAAAAACCUCCACAGUUCUGUAAUUUCAGUUUACUUACUGUCAGUCUUCCAUUGAUUUCUCAGGUAGUUGUGGGAUCUAAGCCUACAGGAAUAAGAAAAAAAUGCAUUAACGUUUUCGUAAGUAAAACAAAAAAAAAAUCUGUCUUAACAGUUUUCAAUCCUAUUGCAACACAAGAUUAAAGAGCUGAAUGGGCUCAAAUAGACACUUUCUUGUUAAGCUUCCUGCCUCACAGACAAAGCACCAAUGAAAAGAAAAUGAAAUGAGCUUUUGUUAUCUUAUCACAUUUUCCUAACAGAUCUAUUUAUUUAUAAAGUUAGCUUUAAGCUAUUAAUAAUUGUAACUCCUAGCUAUAAAGCACCUCCAAUCAAACAAUUUAGUUUGCAAUCAUAAUAUCUUUAUAUAAAUGCUUUACUCCCUUGGUUGAUAACUUUCUUCUGUUAUGUUAUUUCUUAAUGGCCAAGGUUGUACUUUAAGUACCAAUACAGACUAGAGGCAGACAAUGAAAAUUACCUAAUAGCAGGUUUAUUAAAUAGCAUUGUGGAUAAAAUAAAAGCAUCAUUUGGGAUUUUGUACAUUUCUACAGUCUUUGGGCUGCAAUAUACCUUUCUGUUGAUGCUGUUAAUGUGAAAAAUAGCAUUUACGUAGUGUCAUUGGUAUAAUAACGUAGCAGUUAUAUAGUUAUGUUUAGUAACGUGAUCUUACAGCCAUAUUCCUGCGAAGAAAGGAAAUAUAAAACAUAUUUCAUCAUACCACGUUGUGAAUACUAGGUCAAAUGUUUUCAUGUAGACUUGUGUAUCUAUUUGUGUUCACCCAAGACCAUCCGUGCAUUGUCAGCCUCUGCACUUUGUUCACUAAAGAAUACACAGUAGCAUUAUCAAGACCAAUGUGGGUCAGCCCGUGCCACUUGCAUUCAAAAUUGGUGGUCAAACUUCAGAAUUUGUUCUCCAAACCAGCAGGAAGUCAAGAGGAGAGAGAAAGCUCACAUCAGAACUUUACUCUUUUACUUCUCUUCAGAGUAUUCUGAAAGUAAUACUUUAUUUUGGAUGAGUUUAAUAUCUAGUUCUUUUGUUUUAAUUUAAAAAUGUUAAUGAAGAAGGAAGCCUCUUCCAAGAUGGAAGGAGUGGGGCAGGUGUUGUUUUAUUUUUUUUUAAGUUUAAUCAUGUCUGAUCAAAAUUCUUCAUUCCUUCUGUUCUCCUAUUAAAAAAAGUCAUCUGUUUGCCACUAUUUAGCACUAUUCUAGUUUUCAUCCAUUACUAUUCUUUGUUUCCUCUUCCCCAGCCCCCAGAUGGGUAGGUAGCAAGGCAAAAAACAGCAGAAAUCUCAGUGAUUAAAAAUUAUAUUAAACUUGGCAUAUAAGAAAAUGCUACUGAUAGUCAGGAAGUGUUCUCUUUUCAGAGGGAGAAAGAACACGAGUUCUUCAUAAUUUAGCAAUUUAUAUUUUUAUAAUCUUUUUAAUUAACUAAUUGUAGCUAGUUCCUAAAAAGAACGAGUUUUGUUACAAAGAAGGGAGCAGGGAACUUACAGAAACAGAGGUAUAAAUAGUUGUUACAGUCAGAAAGAUUAGUGCAGUGGAAAGGCAGUACAGGAGUGGAACGGCAAAAGGACAAACAGGAGUCCUCUAAACCCAUCUCUGAGUAUCGAGGCUCGCGGAGGAAAAACUCCACAAGUGAGAGAUCUCCAACUGAAGACAAUUCCCCGGUGGCAGUCUGCCCUUAAAUGGGGUCUAGAAGAGGUGGGGCCUGGCUCCAUCCCUUCCGGUCACACAGGUGAAUUGCCUUCACCUGAGCUCCCAGGGCUGACCCAGUGCUUGCCUCAGGUGAUCAAUCAGUGGUUCAGGCCAUGACUCAACUGUUCCCAUACAGUAGUGCACCAUAACUGCUUGUGCCCAGCUCUAGCAAUCCUUAUUAAUUUUCAGUCAUCACUUCAGAAAUGUAGAUUUUGAAGUGUAGUUUAUCAGUCCAGUCACAUGAUUUCCAGUCUUUUAUUCUUCAGAUAUUGUCUGAACACUGAAAUGGUAGUGAACCGGUUGUGGUCUAUACAAUUCAGAAUAUAUUCAUUUGUCUACCUUAUGUUGCUCUGUAAAACCUAUAAUCUGUUUGACACUUCAUUCUCUGCUCUUUCAUUAACAAUAAGUGUAUUUGGCCCCAAACAGUUUUCUUAUUGUUAAAAAAGAAAAAGCUUAUUUUUUUUUCCUGAAGUUAUGUUUUUCUCCUCUUAGAGAGGAGGAAAAAAAAAAAAAAACCAACCCACAACCAUUUCUACAGAUUUGUGGGUUUUAGGACAUAUUUUGCAAAAUGCACAGAAAUUUUUGUUUCAGAGGUUACUCUUCUUUAUGUGCUGUAAAUACUGAAGCUGUCUAAUGAUGAUGAGAAUAUAUACAUGUAGUCAUGCAUUUUGAGAAGUAUGUCAAUAUUAUUGAGUACCCAUGUAAUUCUUAACUGACAAUAAGGGGUGUAUGUGCUUUUCCAGUUUUUAAUGAUGUUACCUACAUAUACCUACGUACCGUUACCUGUGUGUUGCUGGUUUUGGCCCCAAACUUUUAUACUGAUGUCAGUUAUUACUAGUCAACCAACUACUACAACUAGAACAAAUACUGUGACACCUGAACAUGUUUUGGCACUGUUAUAACUAUGCCUGAAUCUUUGGAAGUAUUUUGGAGGGAAUCAAGAAGCUAUUUCCCACUGAAUUUCUAUGGAAUUUUACUGCCUAAUGCCCUGUGAGUUUUGCUGAACACCUCUAGCUCUUUCACAAUCAUGUUUCCCCAGGUACUGAGAGAAUAGGAAGAGAGCUAAGACCAUUUGGCAGAUGUAUUUUAUUCUACAGGGAACUUAGGUUCCAUACAGCAUUGCCCAUAUAUUCAGAUUGUUUAAAGGUGAUGGGUUCAUUAUAAUUGCAUUAUAUUGUAAAUGCUGGAAAUGUUUUUAAUAUGCAGCAAUAAUAUAUUGCAUUAAAAGAUAUUUCUUCCACGUGCAUUUUAGGGAAGCAAAUUGGAUACUCUGUAUGUAAGAGUUCAUCUCUGUCCACAUUCCGGCAUCACAGCCAGUAACUUGUGCUUGAUUUGGUGAUAUUCUAUAGCUGUACUAGUCUGAAACUGAGCUAGGUCCUUUUAUAUCUAGUUUGAUGUCACACUGACAUUAAUAGAGGUGUGUGCCUGCAGAAAUAUAUCUGUUUCUAUGUAGCGGACUGCCUUACAGCUGAUCUGAAAUACAUUCUGCAUGUAUGUGUUUUUCUUGAAUCCACAUGGAUUGAUUUUUCAGCAAUGCUUUUGGAAUUCGGUCUUUAGUAUUUUUUUGCUUGAAGCAUAUGCAGAUGUUUCCAUGUUCUGUAAAAUGGAGGAAGAAGCACAAAAGUUACAAUAAGUCAAUUUCCCCUAAGCUUUACAAGAAUUUCAUCGAGAGGUGAUUGAUCCAUUUGUUGCAAAUAAUAAUAAAUGUUGACAUUUUUCAAUUUUGUGUUCCAUUUAAGUGAAAGUCUUGGGUGUUUAUUUAUGUAUCAUUUUGUUCCUUGUUUUGAAACCGCAGCGAGAGCAUUUCAAGCAAUGCCUCUCACUAUUCAUUAUUUAUGAAUUUGUGUUAAUCCAUACCCUCAUAGAUAAAGCUUCCAUAAACUUGGGGGCGAAGAGCAGUGGCAUUUCUCAAGGGUGCACAAACAUUUUUGGGCUGAAUUUUUCCAAGUAAGAGUACUUAUGAUUCUGAUAACUUUGCAGAAUCUGUGUGUAGCUAAUGUAUUCUAGUUGGCUGAACUGUGUCAUAAGACUUCUUAAUUUUUUAUUUGACUUUUUUUUUUUAAAAAUCUCUUUCAAACUUGUUUCUGCUGCUUAUGACCAGGGUUUCACUACAUUCCUUGCAUGGAUACCUUUUGGAAAUUGAGCUGGAAUUAGUGACAGCAGGCUGAGAGACCCAGGUUUUAUUCUUCCUGUCCUAAGGCAGAAAGUUUGAAGUAGUGGAAAACUAAUAAAAGCAGAACAAAGGAGCCAGAUGUUGUGAGGCAGGGUAGAGGAGAUUCAAAAAUACUUUGAACAGGAGGAGAGAAGAUAGAGGAUUGCAUAUAUGAUGGGAGGUGGUUUUGGUGACAAAGGUCAAAGACAGUGAGUUAAGCUGAGCUGAAACAAUUCUGUCAGUGUACAAAUCCUGGAGCAGUCUAGGUGGUUUCACAUUCUCUGGGGACUUGCUCAAAAAUCCUGUAGUGCAGUAAGUAAUGGUGAAUGGGUUUUGAAUCUUACAUGAAGCUUUAUUUAUAUACCUGGCUGGUUACACAUGCAAGGCCAUCCAAAGGAGAAAAAUGGCCCAGAGGAAAAUAUUCCAGUUUCUUCCACAGGAACAGGCUUCUGGAAGACAGUUAGCUGCAAGUUCAAAGACCUUUGUAGGAUGACAUCUCAGAAAAGAAUCUAUGCCAUGGAAACAAAAAGGUGAAUACCACAGAGUAGCCUACCCUACCCCUGUGGAGUCUUAAAAUAUUUACUACCUCAUAAUCUGACAAAUUCGACCAUGUUACAGAGACAGUCUUUCAGGUUUUCCUGAGUGCCAGUGUAAAUGUUCACUAUACUGGCUUUUUGUUUAGAGAAAUACUAAUAAAAAGCAAUACAAACAGGCACUAUAUACUUGUGCAUAGCUUUUAUUAAACUGCUUGUUAAUAAUCCUUAGGAGGAUUUUGUGCUAGAGUGUCUUAAUGAAUAUCUUUAUUUUAGAGACUUUUGCUUUCCAUUUAAUAUGGACUGGAGCUUUGCCUACAGCUUAGCUUUGCCAUCCUUCUUAAUAUCACUACUGACUCCCUUAUCUUUCCUAAUUUGAAUCACUUACAGUGAAGAGCAGUAUUUUGAAUGUGUACUCUGCCUGUGGGAGUUGUAGGAAGGCUGCAAUACAGGAGCCUGUCAAAGCCUGGGUAGCUUCGCAGACUUCUCUCUUACUAUUUUUAAAGGAAUUAACGUAUCAGCUUUCAUUGUAAUUGUGCAAUGUUCAUGUGUACAGUGUGUUCAUAUUGAGCUACUUAUGUUACAAUUAAGAUGUCAUAAUUCUGUAAGCCUACAAACUCCACAGUCAUUGAGAUAGAGGAGAUUCAGGUUGUGAUUUUCCCAGUGGUGACCUUUCUUAGGGGCUUUCUGUUCUUUUCUUCAGCAGUCAUUAAUACCUAAUCAAAUGAUUUAUUCAGUUGCUUUGCAGGCAACUUCUGGUCAGCUCCCCUUAUUGCAUGUGUCUUUUAUGAGGCAUCUUGUAGGCCAAGAAAGUGUAGUCAUAUGAACUAUUUUUGACCUGUGCUCAUUACUGGGAGCUGUAUGCAUCCUGGAGAUCCAUCCAGCAUCUUAAAGGAUGUGGCAUUGUUAAUUCCAUGUUGCUUUCUAUAGAAAAAUACUUGUAUUCAUGAGACAACAAGAGAUCAGCAUGGCAUGACUAAGAUCUUCUACCUGACAGCAGGACAAAUACCAUAGAAGAGACUGGUUUUCAAGGUACUAUCUGCUUUAGCAAAUUUAAGAUCUUUCAUCACCAAACAAAGUAUUGAUUUUAGGUAAUUCUUCACGGAUGGUACUGCAGUCUUGGAAUUGCAAGCAGGUAACUUCUAUUCUCAGUCCUACAGAUCCUGCAAGACAUUUUGACGUAUUUGACAUAUUAAGCUAAUCCUACCAGAGUAAUCUAUCUUUUUGGUCAAAUAAAUCUUUUUCACAAGGUGGAUAAAAUUUGCUUAUAUAAUUACCUCACAAUUGAGUAAUUUUUCUAGACACUUCCAAAAUAUGGUUUCAAGAUCUUCUGGGGGUAACCCAGUAAAAAUAUUCAAAUGAACAACAUCUGUAAGAAUACUUAAUGAAGACUAGGAGACCAGCAUAAUGGCCUGUCUUAACCAUCUUUCAGAUAUAAUUGUUACUGUAUAUAGCAAGUGAGUGGAUCUGGGCUAGAUUACUCCCUGUUAAAGCUGUAAUUUCAGUGGGAUUUCUGCGGAUUUAUACAGAUUGUGAUGUGAAAACAGUUUUUGCCAGCUGAUACUAAUAGAGAUAUAUUGAACUGUGGGGAUGUUCUACAUUCAUUUACCAGCGAGAGAACGAUUUUUUUUAAUCAGUGUAUUAUUUUCUCAUUCACCUUGCAGAACAUGGGAUUAGUUUUUCAAGCAUGUGUUUGGACUAUAACAUGAAAAAGAAAAGAUGCAUUUACAGACCAUUUGCUACAUUACACUUUUAUUUCUAAUAACCCAUUUUGACACUAAUCCUAUAUGUUGGAUUAUUUUAUGAUGUAAUCACCUUAAAAAGAUUUUCUGUUUCUUAAUAUGAAAACGGGAAAAAGAACUGAAUUUGGCUGUAAUAUUUUAGUAUAUCCUUUCUCUUACAGAGAUUGUAUUUAGAUGUAGAUAAGGAUUUCUAGUUUAACCACCCAUGUCUUAUUAUUUUCUUUAUGUUAACGCUUUUCCAGUUGUGAUGUCCAAACAGUAUUGAAGUAACGCAAGAUACCCUAAGGGUAGUAUAGUUACUUCCAGUGAAGAAUGAGCAGUAGAAACUGACAAUUCAGUUUAAACAGAUGAGAAAGGCAGAUUUCUAGAAGAGGUCUGCUUUCUUCUCUUGCAAGAAAAUGUUGAGGGGCUAGGGUGUUAAGAAAGGAGAGAAAAAAAAAAAAAAAAAGGAACUAUGCUCUUUUGAAAUCAAUAUCAUUUAUGUAAUUGUAUGAUUUCUGAUGGCAUAUUUAUCAGCCUGUGAGUGACCAGCCCCUCUCCUGUUCCUCUUUUUGGUCUCAUGUCCCUGCCAUGCCCCUGGUAACAUACAGCCUGCUGCUGCUGUGGGUUCUGUUAUGGGGCCGGAUGCAGGGUGCUUCUACAGUGUAACAUACAAGUCUGAAUGGUUUAAAACACUAAUUGCUAAUAAACUGUGGGAAAAGGGGUGAGGAGAAAACACGAGGUUUAGUAUUUUUGUACUUUUCCCAAAACGAUUAUGACCAAGAAGGCCAUAGUUCAAAAAGCAUUUAGUAGCCACUGAGCAUCAGCUUGAGAGGUUUCAGCGUAAAAACUGUUGCUUAUUCAUAAAUGCACAAUGAAGGUAUUCAGCAAAAUUAGGUUUUGAAAACAUACAAUUAUCAUCUUGUUUUCUUUCUCUGGUGAGCUAGCAAGAGAAUUAUGAAAAUAUAGAAUUGAGUCUGUGGUGCACAAAGAUUUUCUGUGUUGCCAAUGAGAGUCAUAGAAGCCUUCCCUGUUGUCAUCACCGUAUAACAAGUAGCACUUCUUCCAAGCUGCAUAACCUACAAAACUGUUUCAUUAUUCCAUUUUUUGUUGUUGUUGUUGUUAAAAUUAAUUGUGUGUUGAAUACAGAAAAUCUCUUCUUCUUGUGUCCAAGAAUUAAUAGUAAAAGAAAAUCUGCUGCUUGGGACUUUGAGUAACUACAUUUGUUUUUUUUUAUCUUUCUCGAUAGUUCUUGUAAGAAAAAUCUAUGGGGAAAUCACAUUUUUUCAGUAAUUUCUUAAUAGUGAAGAGGUGAUGAUUUGGGCAAAAGGCUCUCUGAAAUAUGUGCACCUAAUUUUUAAAAUACUUUUGUGUGAAAUAUUGGACUUUUGGAUCUGUGACUGAUAAUUUCUGUAUCAAAUUGGUGGUUUGAACCCAACCUUACCUAGAAAUUUAUAGCUAAAAACUGACUUAAUUUUAGUUAGUGCCCUCAUCUAGCCUCAAGUAUAAUCUUUCUUUUUUUUUUUUUUUUUAAUGCAUACUCGCCUUUAAAUCAUGUUUGAAUGUGGGAAGAGAAAACGGUAAUAAACCACCACUUCUCUAAUUCAGAGGGCACAUGAAUCUUAGGUAAAAGUGCAAGGGAAAAGGAUUCACAAUAGAGAAUCUGAUUAAAAGGUCUGGUUUAGAUUGCUGCUUAAGCAGGAAAUGAUGAAUCUUGGCAGUCUCUCUACUGUGAAACAAAACAGUGAAGAAAGCUGAUGCUUCAGAUAGACACGAGAUAAAAAAGGACCUAGAAAAUACUAUAUUGCAGACAUAUUUCAUUUUGGCAGAGUCUGAGAAAUUGGUUAUCUUUACCACUAUUGUAUGAACAUUUACUUAUUAUCUGUUCUGAAGAAAACGAGGGGGUUAAUUCUCUAACCAAUAGGCUGAAAAUGAAGCCAGUGAUUUGGGAAUUGAGUGUUAGAAUAAAAUAUACCUAGACUGCUCAUCCUGUGCCUGAAGAAACAUAAUUUUAAGGGGAAAAAUUACAUUGUUAUUAGAAGCAAAAAGUUUGGAAAGCCCUCUGGGGUUGCAGUCGUUCAGUUAUGCCUAAUCUGAGUUAGUCAUCAUCCUUACUGUUGAAGGGGCUCUCAGAAUGAAACACAUGCUUAUGAAUUUAUUGAAGAUUAAUUUAUCUUGUUCUCUCUGCUUUUAAGAAAAAAAAGAUGAGGUGGUGUGCAGAUUACUCUUGAUUAUUAUGUAGUGUUUUAUUGCUGUAGAAUAUGGAAACUCAAGGCAUUCUCAAAAUAAGGGAUAGUCAGUGACUCCCCAUCACUCAGCCAACUCUGGUGCUUGCUGGAUCUCUGCAAACAGUGGGAGAUAUCAAAAUUUUGGUACCCUAGGAAUAUACAUUUUUUCUGUUUUCAUCACGUGUGAAGGUUGAAACUGUUUAUAUUCAAAACUAGCUGAUGAGCAAUGUUGUGAAUGUGUUGCUAGAAGGGCAAGCUUCUUAAUGACCUGAUGCCAUGAAAGGCAUAACUGAAGUGUACCUGGAAAUGUAACUGUUAAACAUUUAUUUUUUGUCUUGAUUAUAUUAACUGCUGAUAAGAACCCCACUUUGGUAUGCUGUGCUUAUUUCAUAAUUUGUUUCUGAAUGCAAUCUUGUCAGAAAUGCUUCUUUUUAUCUAUACUGGAUGAAAGCAUCUUGAUUUUUAUUGGUCAUUUUGCAUAGCCUAUGUGAAAAUGUGACAAUUUUAGUGCUUCCUUGACAUUUUUGAUCUAAAAUAUUCUUGUUUCAUGUAAGAGAGUAUUUUCAAUGAAGUAUGUUAUGUCCAGGAGCUAUGAUUGUCAUAGUGUUUUGCAGAGAUGACAUUUGUUGACAUUCACAUUUUUCAAGAACUACCAUUUUUCAUCUUUAUUCGAAACACUAGGAUGAAUGGUUCUAUUGCAUUGUGCAGGAGUGCAGGUCUGAGAUAAAUCUCUGAAAUGUGCACAACCUCCUUUUACAUGUGAACGGAGUGCUGAAUGAACCUUGGGAAAGUCCCACCUUCAUCAGCAGCCUCUCAAACUUUAAGUACUCAUCUCUCUCUUAAGCUAGAUGCAAGUGCUUUGUAGAUCUGCAGAACAGACCUAAACCAUCUUGCAACAGACUUUCUGCUUUCCUGUGAGAUAAUGGGGAAAAAAACACAAAACGUGUGCUGAGGAGAAAGUGAAAGAAAUGCUCUGAAUUUCUGAUGUGAACUGGGACAUCCAAUGAAACUUUCUUGGACUUCGCUAGUGUGAGUGUAAAAUAGGCAUGUGUCUUGUCAGCCAUUCCUAAGGCCAGGCUAACAUCUGUUACUCUACUGCAGCCUUUCUGCCUGGAUUUUGUUCAUAAAAUUAUUUUGGUUAAAUAUUUGUUUUGCUAGAAAACAUUAUCUUUCAAAAAAUUCAAAGGACAAACUUUCCACUUAAAGGUCAGGAGUCCGUGGCUUAUCCACUCAAAACCUGGCUUUGAUAGAAAACUGAUGUAUUUAUUGUACUUCCUGAAAUAGUCUUUGGUUGUGUCAACAUCACAAACAACAGAAUUAUUUUCAGCAAUGAAGAUAUCAGUUUUACAUUCCUCAUUGUUUGUGUUUUCAUGCUGAAAACCUCAAUUUUUGCAGGUGUAGAAGUCUUUCCUCUCAAUCCUGCACUUGUCAGUAUUGCCUCCCUCAUACAGAGUGAAAGCUAUUAAUACUCAUCAAAGUGCCCAUAUAAUGUUACUUCUGCCUAUCCCAGUGUGUGUUUGAAACUAACAAGCACCCUUGGUAUCUCUCUACCUACUCAAAAUUCACACACAACAAGAACAUUACUUUUACUCACAGCAUGAGCCUGACAGGCUUUUAUUAGCAUUUAAUUUUUUGCUUCUGAUUUGUUUCUUCUUGUUUCUUUAAGGUAACUGUGAUUUGCUAAAACUAAGGGAGGCUAUUCUUGGCAAAGGUUACCCUCCUCUUUUUAUUUAAAAACUUUGGAUUGAUGUAAUUUGGUAGGAAUUCCAGAGGGCCUAGGCUUGGAUUUGUCAAUGCUUUGGAGCCAUGGAUCACUGUAUUCCCACUAUUGUCCUAAUGGUGUUGCCUUGAGCUCUGUUACAACAGGAUCCAACUGCCUCUUUAAAUAAAAAAGAAAAGUUCUUAAAUUCAAAUGAAGCCAUGCCAGCUCUUUACAAGCUUCUCAGGGAUUUUAUGGGUUUAUGUAGAACCCUUAAAAAUGUGUCUUUUAGAAGCAGCUGCAUUUGCCACACUUAGAAAUCCUUCCUAUAAUUUCACUACUCAUGCCAAGCUAAAAUAAAACACCUCUGGUGCUUCUUCUGAAACUUUCCACUCCGGAUAAGGCCAGUAAGUAUUUUUGGAAGUGUUUCUUAGAAAGGUUGGUAUAAUUAGGCUUGCUUUCUUUUUUCCCCUCUCUGUUUAUUUGUUUGGCAAAAUAUCUUUUUUCAACAUUGAUCUGAAAGGACAGUAUUCUAUCUGGCCUCGGACUCAGCAUUCACCCCUAUCAUCAAUCUGGUCUUGAAAAACUGUCUUGUAUUGAAAGUGAAAAAUGAGUCUAAUUCAUCUCUAUGUUUACAAAUAGCUACUUUCCAAGCACUGAGUUGCUGUGCAUGUAGAAGUACAACAGAUUCUUGCUUGAGAAACAGAUAUAUUUACCAACUUUUCUUUUUGCAAGCUUUUGUUGCUCUUGCUUGUUUGAUAUUAAGGCAAUUGUGUCCUUGACCUGGUGAUGUGAGCAUGGCAGAUGAUGCAAGUGGAGCUGAUGUGAAAUGAACCCCUUUUCAGUGCUUCUUCUGCUCUGGCUGAAGUAAAAGGGAGCAGUAAGCCUCCUCCAGGCAAUACAUGAAAGUUACAUGAAAGUUUCCUAGCAAGGGUUUCUCAAAGAUAAAGGCUUCUACUAGCACAGGCUUUGGGUAACAGCAACAAAUGCUUGUGCUGCUUGUUAGUAGCAAGAAAACACUGAAUCAAAAACCUCACAUUUGUAUUCUGGAAUGCUCUUGAUCUAUGGUUGCUAUUUGUUGUCCAGGGCUGGCUUUCAUGCAAGCCACACCAUGCCUCACAAGGUGCUGCCUGUUAUGAAUUGGAAAACAUAUCAUGUCAUAGUCCUGGUUGGGUUUCCUUUAAGUGAUGAUGUGGAGCAUAUGUUGUAGUAUAAAUGGAUAAAAGAAGAUCCUUCUUUCACCCACAAAAUGGGUGAAAAUAUGUACAAAUUGAUAACUAUUUUUGCUGCUGAUGACCCAGGUAAUUCACUAGCAUUCUGCCUGCCUAGGCAUUUGUACUUUGCUCUGCAUAGCUUUCUUCCAUGGCCAUCUUAAAAUAUCUCUUUUGGGAAAAAAAAAAAAAGAGUAAAUUAUUGGGAUAGAAGGGAAGGGAGGUAGCACUACAGGAAUAUGGCUUUGAUUUCUCUACUCUGAAGUGGAAAUGUGAUUGGCUAGCUAUUUCUUUCUUCCCCAGCUAGACAAAGAGAGAAAAAUAAAACAGGAAAAUCUAAUGAAAAAAGAGUCUAGGUAAUAGAGAAAAUACUACUGAAAUAGUAAUGGACUUUGUGCUGAACUUGAAAGCUGCCUGAACACAAGUUUCCCAGCAAAAAGUUUAUCUGAAAUGGUGUUUUGGAUAGUAAGAGAGAAUUACUUGCCUUAUAUCAGUUUUGUUGGAAAAAAGAUGUGGAAAGAGAUAAGUCAGUAAUAAUUUGGGACCAAGUAACUGCGCCUCCAUUUACAUUUCAUUCCAUCAAUUUGAAAUAAUUUAUCUUAGUCAUAGCUGUAAGGAAAAUUCAGACCUUUGAUAUCAUAUCAAAGCUGCCUGCUUGCAGACAGAUAGAGGUGCAGAAUGUUAGUUGCCCAAGCCUCAAUAUUUUGGAUCAAGGAUUCAGUCUGUGAAAUCUGAGAUUGGAUUCACUUUUUUUCAAGAGACAUUAGAAAAUUCUGAACUGGAAAACAAACCAAGUGUUUAUAUUUUUUAACUUAACCAAGCAAUGCAGAGUCUCUUAAACUACCACAGUGAACUCUGAAUUUUGUCUUUGCAAAUUCAGGAAUGUCUCAUUAUGUCAUUUUCCCCCACCUUGUCAUCUAUACUAAGGUUUCUCCUCUCUCUUGCCUUUCCUUAAUUUCUCUUCCACAGAGUCAGCUCACGCUCACUAGAACAUAUUGCAGUGUGGCAGAGAGCAGGAAAUGUGGUAGGCUAGGAUAGUUGUGCCGCACUGAAGAGAGAAAUCAAUUAGGAAGACUUAACAGUUCAAUAUGCCUUUCUUUGGAACUAAGUAAUGGUUAUAUUGAAUAGUGCAAGGCACUCAUGUAAGCAUUUGGGUUUUCUUUUCUGAAAUAACAUUGCUGCUAUUGAGCACUACGUUCUCGCAAAACUGAAUUCCAACUCUCUUUUUCCAGGUCUGUCUUUGCUUACUGUAUUGUUGAGGGGUGGCUCCACAGCUGAGGGGGUCAUGGGUCUCUUGAACAGUUGUACUAGCAGAACAGGCCUAACAAUUGGCAGGAGAUACAGAUGGAAAAAUACUAGCUCAUUAUACUGGCUGUGAGUUCGGGUGCUGUGUGCACAACCCAGGCUAUGAGACCUUGAAGCUGUCAAAGCAGGAAGACAAACUGAGGCUUCAGUUAAGAUAAGGGGGUAGCUAGCCUGGGAAGCGAUUAAGACAGUGGAAUGGUAUGAAAACAUGCACGACCAAUAGUAUUCUUAGGUAGGGGGCUUUUUGCUAUGCUUCAACCAAUUACACACUGACGCACAUUUGCCGCAAUCUAUAUAUAUGUGUGACUAACGAAUAAUAAACGGAGACUCUGAUGCACUCAUAUAGGGUCAUGUCAUCACUCCCCACGUGGCUCGGCCAGCGAACGGACUAGAUUCUGGUUUCGAACCCUUGGGGGUCCGCAACACUGUAUAUCGUAACAUCUCCUUUUUACACAUUAGUCUUGCUAGUUUAUACUAAGAGAAUUAAUAAUGACACCACCUAUAUGUGUUCUUUGAAGUGGCAUAAUUUAAAAACAUAAAAACAAACAAAAAAAACAAUGGCUCUGAUUUUUGUUAGCAUUUGGAUGGUUGAAGUCAUGCUCAAGAUUUGGUAAUUCCUAUAAAUCUUGUUAAGUCUCUUUGACUUAUUUAUCUUGUAGCUGUGGCUUUGUUCUUUUCUUUGGUGAGCUAUUUUCUGUAUCAUGCACUCUCUCGUCUUGGCAGAUUAAUCCAUUCAAAGAAGAUACUCUAUAUUACGAUUACAGCAGCUGCUCUGCAGAUACCUGUUUGUCCUGGCCAAAGUGAAAUCACCAGUCAUGAGCGAGUAGCAUCGAGUCUGGUUGUUUUAUAGACAACAUUAAGCUCUUUCAUAUUCAGUGGUUAUGCGAAUGAUUGAUAGACCUCAUUAUUUUGAGGAACUAUUGCACUGUAAUGUUUCCAGAUGUUCUCCAAUGGAAACUUGUGUUAUUACUAUAGGGAAGUAUCAAUCAGUAAAUAACCUAUGUCAUUUGUUGCCCUUCUAUACAAUCCCAGUGUUCUGAUCUUGUGGCGUAGCUUUAUUUACAAAGGAAUUGUCAAUUAAAAUAGAUUAUCAUUCUAUAUGUUAUAACACAGAUCAGCAGAGGGACAGUUUUGAGUGUGUGAUAUUAUCAGCCACUGUGAACCAAAUGGAGUCAACUGUAACCAAUACUCAGGUGAAGAGUCAUGAAAGAAAACUCAAAUGUUGCAGAAGAUAUUUCUAAUGAGUUAGUAGAGGAUGCUAGUUCAUCUGUUAGAAAACUUUUGCUCUGCAACUUCCUAAGAGACAUUCAUCUGUGAAGGGCUGCUCUUUCAUGAAACAAUUUUAGUACUGUAACCAGAGGAUGCAAGUCUGAUUUCAGCAGCUUUUCUUAUUUACUAGAGCUGGCUUCAAUACUGUGAGGGAUUGUAAUUUGAUAGCCAGACUGUUCUGAUGCAAGCUAGGAAAAACUGAUAAAGUGUUUACUCUCAGAAUGAGAAUCAGAGAGUUGGGGAUUUUUAUUGUUUGUGGGCUGUCCCAAACUAAAAGAAGCUUCUAGGCUGUAACUGAUUGCAUUAAAAUCAGCUAAAACUACUGCUUUGUGAAUUUUUCUUUAAAUACAUGUGUAACCUGUAAUACCAAACCUCACAAAUGAUGCCUUCAAAUUCAUUCAAACAAGGAUAGGUAACCCUUGCAAUUUUUAUGCUAAUCCCAAUAGUUUUUAUGCCUAUCCCAUUAGUUACCAUCCUCUGCAAGGCACAAAGAGGCAUGUGUAAAUAUUGAUGGAUACAGUUGCUCUCUGGUGAGCUGAUUUGCAGUCGUUGUUUGCCACUUGACUGUCUCUGAAAUUUGCUCAUGUUUCAGUUAUUCUCUCUCAGCAGAACCAAGGGUGAAUAGGUAUGUCUGUUCAGCAUCUCCAGACUCAUAUAAUAGGUGUUGAUGAUUUGUUGUGAGAGCGAGACAAAGAUCUUUCCAAGGAACAUUGGAUUUGUCCUAGAUCUGAAUUUUGGGUUGGACGGCUUUACUACCAGCGCACUACUACUGGAGUUGGACUUCUAGGCAUCCUAAAAUAAUUAGAAUUUGGUAGCUAUUGAGAUCAGUUGUGAGAGUCUCUAACCCAAGGAAUCUAUUAGUUGCAAUUGCUAAUCUGGAUGUUCUGAUUGGAAGUUUUAAGGAGAACAGAGUGAAGCUUUUUUUAAAGCAACGUGUUUUUUGUUCAUUUCUUGUUCCAUUAGCAGAUUUUUUUAUUAUGAUACUUAAUAGUCCAUAUUUAUUGGUCUUGUUUGUAUUUCUUCAACUGUAUUAGCAUAACUUUACUUGAUAGCACAGUUUCUGACUAGAAGCAAUCUUUUUGAUCAACUUUUUUAACAGUCUAGUCAAAUUUCCAAGUGUCUGAAAUUAAUACAGUGACUGUAUUUAUACAUAAGCUUUUGGAAGCUCAAUUUUCAAUAUUAAUGUCUUCAUCUCAAAUGUAUCUGUGCCUUGGAGGAUGCUGACAAGCAAGAGAAUGACAUAAUCUCAUAUCCAGGUGUAGCGGAUAGGGGGUGCACCCGCAAUGAAUGAAACUCAAUGUGUUUGAGUACAGGGACAAAAGCAUAUACCUCUGGUUGGAGAGUAACACACUCUAAAUUCAUUUAAAGAGGUGGUGGAGAAAGUAGAAUAUUUGGUCUUCAAAAAUUAGUCUCCAUUCUAUUUUUUCAUCAAACUUAAUGUUUUUCAUUUAAAAAGAUGAAGGUUGCUAUAGACUCCAGGCCAUUGAUGCUAUCACUUGAAGUUUCCUGCUUGUGUUAAGGAGUCAUCUUGAUUCAUUUGGUGGAAAAAAAUGACUGUCCUGCCAUGUCUGCUCUUUUCUAAUCUUCAUCAGUUUGUCAUUGAAUUUGUCUAUCAAAUGUAGCAUCUGUUAUGUGAAAAUUUCACAGACGUGAGAAUUGUUGCUAAAGGGAACUUACAUACGUACAUGCUGGGAACUGAGAGUAAAUGUAGUGCUAGUGUACUUGGACUCUGUGAACUAUGAAUAUAUGAAAUCCUUGGGGGUUUUUUCCCAUUCUUUUUUAAUGUUUGUCACAAAGGAGCUUAACUUUUUGUGUGUUGAGAUACAGCUGUGAUUCUGGAAUGUGGUUCCGAACAUCCACAAUUGAAAUGAUCGAGGUGACCUUACCUACGAGACAUCAGUCUGCGUCAUAAAAACGUGGCAAUGUCUGGAGUGCUUGUUUUGCUGGAUGUAUGAAAACUGAAAGAUAUUACAGAGGUUGAACUCAAUAAGAAGAAUUUUCAUUAACAAUAAUCCCUGAACAAAUAUUUGUAUAUGGAUACAAACUACUUGAAACUCCAUAUAAAUGUUCCUUCUCGUGAGACCUUUUCCUUUCCAUAUUGCCUUUGAAGUUUCUUCAUAAGUGUGUUCCCUCUCAACCAAGUGGGGGCAAAUACUGAUUUCAUUUUUGCUGAUUUACUAAUAUUACUUUGAAUGAAACUGAUACAUCAUGGCUCUUUUGCAAGAAACAUUUUCCUAAGGUAUUUCAUUAGUUUCAAAUGGGCUAAAGGUCAAAAGUUAAAUGUGCACACAAACAGCCCAAUCAACUAUUCAAAUAUGUCAGAACCUCACAAUGUUUUGGCUUGAAAAAAAACCAACCGUGCGGGCUGUUUCUCAGAAAUAAUGUAGAUUUAUAAGGUGCUUUUGUUUUCCCCAAGUUGGUUCACGUUUCUGUGAUGAAUCUCUUUGUUGUAGCCCUGAACUAGGUUAUCAGCCUUUAAUUGCAUCUUAGGAAAGCCUUUUUUGUUUGUUGCAUUUACUUUGGUUAUUUUAGAGAAAGCAAAGAGUUUUAACUUUCCUACCACUACAACAUUACUGGUUCUGACUUUGGUUUUCUUAGCUAUCUUUUCUUUCCCAUAUUAACUUCCAUAUUCCUAUCUUGUCACAGUCUCUUUUGUCCUUGGCAGUGGCAAUAUCUUUUCUUUCAGGCAUGCUGACCUCUCCCAUUCCCUUUGAAGCACUUACGAUCAUUCCAAGAGCUGCAUUCCAGCUGUGGCGCCUUCUGAGGUACUGAAUGUAUUAAGAUAAAAAGAAAUAAGCUGAGCCAUAUUAAUAAAAAGCUUAAAUGUUUAUGCAGGCAUAAGCUUCGAGAAAUUAGAUACCAAAAAUAAGGCUUUACCAGGAAUGAUCAAGUAGCUAAAAUGGAAGCCCAAAGAAUGAUGCUCUUUUUUUUCUAGUGCAUUCUGGUCCAGUCAGUGGUCAUUUAACGUUUAAUACUUUUGCUGUGUAAGUGAAGGACAUUUGAAGGACAGUUUUCUCAUGGAAUAGAACAUGUAGGGGUAACUUUUUGUACAAUCUUAAAAACAGUGGGAGGCUUUUUUUGUUUGGUUGGUUUUUUUUCUCUUUUCCAUUUGGGUAUGACAGAAGGCUGUACUCUGUUCAGAAUCAUACCUGACUGUGAAAUAAAUAGGAGAUGAGAGACCCAGGAAGAGUGAAAAUGAAGGUGUAGUUUAAUAAGACAGCAAAUCCAGCCUUGGCGUAUUUAGUACAGGCUCAAAUAUGUCUUCGGUAAAUGCUAUCAAGGAUUAAACUGAUAGACGAUCAUUUUGCACAUUGAAAUGUGUUUGGAGAGGAGAAGUUUGCUCUGAUGUGUUUCAUAGCAGAAUAGGUGUUGUCAGUCCUUCAGUACCCAUCUCAAAAUGUGUAUAAUGAAGACUCUGGCUAACUUGGGUGAAAUGCUUUCUGCCCACUGUUGGUGGUAGACCAAGUUUUUGUUUUUGUACAAACUGUUCUUUUGUGAAUCCGGUGUAGAAUGUAAGGGACUUGCAAACAUCAUCUGUAUAUAACCAUUAGGAUGUUCCAUGGGAAGCACAGAGAUUGCAGGUUCUUUGGGGCUGUUACUGCUGACUCUUUGGGUCCUAUUUAUUGUUAUUAAGUUAACAAUUACACGGAGAGAUAGAGAGCUCAAAAAUGCACCCCUUCAUCCCCUCCAUCUCCCCCCACCCCCAAUUUUUUUUUUUUUUGAGUGUAGUUUAUCCUGAAUGGCUAACAGGAGACUCACAAAGGCUCCAUGCGCAAUAGUGCUCAAGACUUCUUUUCUCAAAGCUGCAUGCAAAACAGACCUCUUUCUACAGUGUGGAUAAAGUGUAAACUUGUACAACAACAACUUUUUCUGUGCCAUUGUUCACUUUGCCUUCUUUGGCCACCUUGGCAAGGUAUCAUCAUUAAGCAUAUGUGCAUUUGUACCUGAUUAAAUCAGUCAAAUGAGGUGUUUUCCUAAUUCGCAGCAGAAUGAAAGUUACAUAUAUUCAAAGCUCUGCUUUGGGACUAAUCUUACAUGAAAUUAAUAGAAUCAACUCAUAUCCUUAAAUUUAUGUGUGUGUUUAAGUGCCUCAGUGAACUGAAACCUCUCAAUAUUUCUAAAACAGUUGGAAUGGUUUUCAAAUUGAAGUUUCUACGACUACAAUUGACUCUGUUGUAUUUUAACCCUACCAGGAGUGAACAAAAACAGAAAUAGAGACUUCACUGGAAUUAAUUUAGAGGUGAUAAGAAUAUCAGUGGGAAAUGCCAAAGUUGUAUUGCAGCUCUGUUUGACUUGAGAGAAGAUAAUUUUCAUUCUUGUUUUUCUGGGCAUCGUAUCUGCUCAUAGGUACCCAACAAGAUUUUAUUCUUCCCAGAACACUUUUUCUGGGAGGUCAGCUAGGUGAUUGUUAGGAAUACUUCCUUCUAUAAGAAGGGCCAUAAAAUAUACAAGCAAGGGCUGAAAUUCAUAUAGUAUAUAGGCCUGUAUGUACAAAUGUAUAUUUUAACUUCAGGUAUACCUCGUCUCAGUAAUAUGAACAGUGCGAACAGACUGAACGUUUACAUGAAUUUUCACAUAAAUGGAGCAUGAGAAAACAGAUGAUGGAAAUAAGUAGGGAACAUGAAACUUAAUAAGAGGUAGGUUUGCAUAUUGCAGAACAAGUUUAUAUGCUUUUUGUCUAAGAGAUAUGACUUCUUUUUCAAUUCUGUUUUGGCCACAAAGGAUUUUUUGCUAUGCAAGAAUGAAGAUCUUAGACUUCAGAUGUUGCCUUCUUUAUUUCAUUAAUGUUAAUACAGGAAAUCAAAAAAGAUCACAAAAACACUAUGUCUCAUUAUCAGGAUGUUUCUUUUGAUUCUGAACAUGCCAGCAAAGAAUGCUUGAUCCAGCAACAUCAAAAGAUGAAGCCAUUCGUGCUUAGUUGGUUUGCCUUAGAUAUUUUUUCUUCUAGACAGAAAUUUUAGCUUUUUCUCCUUAACUCCAAAGCAUGAGACUGCAAGUGUACAUCUCUUAUUGCAUCUGUAUUUUAUGGGAAUAUCUUACUCAGAGCACAACAGAUGGACUCAUUUUAGGCAAGAUUCAGCAUCUUCAAAUGUAAUGCUAUUAAUAUUUAGAUACAUAGAGCUAUACUUUUAUUAAUGAAAGGGAAAGGCUUUUUGUACUUCUAUGCUAGGAAAAGUAGCUAACAGCAGAUAGUAAUAGGUAUAUUUUUUUAAUUUUUUAAAUAUCAAAAAUAACCACAUGGGGAAUAGUUGCAGAAUCAAUUAUUGACUAUUUUUGUUUAGCUACUGUAUUACAAAUUUUAUCCAACUGACCAUACAGAUCAUUUAAAAUUCUUCUGAUGAUUCUAGUUGUGUAUUCUUUGUGUUGUCAAAAAAUGCCUGUUGGGUUUCAUCCAGUACACACUCCACUGCAUUAUAACAUAGAAGAUAAUAUUGUAACCAAAACAUUCAAAUCAUAGCAAUGCCUGUGUUUUACUUCAGACCAGAAACUGGUGACUGUGUUUCAAUUUUCAGUAAAAGCAACCUUGAUUUCACUGCAGAUAAAACAUAUUAGGCUUUUGUAUGUGUGUCACAACAGACCUGGGAAGUUCUAUUGUACAGAUAUUAUUAAUAGAUUGCAGUGAAUUUGUGUCUUAGAAAUGAACUGAUACAGUUUGGUAACUUUAACUGCUGACACAGACUAUGUGGCAUAUAAGCAAGCAGUAGUCUUACUGCAAAAAUAUAUAUUUUAUAACACCAUAUAAAUACUGAAAAGAGUGGAAUUUUUGUUUGCUUGAUUUUUGGCCAUUGCUAAGCUUAAAACACUUCUGACAGGCUUACUGUAUCUAGCCUCAAGUCAGUGACAGUGAACAGCACAGGGAGACACCUGAGAGCCAGUUAAACAUGAUGAAGUGUUGUUUUGCAUAUUUUGCCAGUUUGGAAGAUAUAUGUUUCACCUCUUGAAAGUUUUCCCAUAAUAUUCCACAUUUGAUGACAAAUCCAAGGUGACAGUUGGAAGGCUCUUUCUAUUGUUUCAUGCUUUCCUGUGUGUUUGGAGUGGAUCAAGGUUGUAAUGAAUUCCAGAAAACCAAGAGAAUUUCCAUCAUGCACAAUAUCCAAAUGUGGCUCUGUACUCAACCAGAAAUGCAAUAAUGGAACAUGCAGCAUGUGUCUGUAGAACUGAAGAGCAUGGGGGAUUCAUAAUAGGAUAUAGACCCUCUUGUUCACCUUUUCAAAUUUAGAGCAGGUGAGCAGCUAAUAGAUUUUCCUCUUCACUCCUGGGUGGUCUUUGUGAGAAGGUAGUUGCAAUGAGCAAACACCCAAGAGGAGGGAUGGAGGAUCCAUGUAAUUGUAGACACAUGCUGCAUGUUCUUCUGUAGGUAGACCCUGGGGGUCACAGGUGGCUUUAUAGGGCUUGGUACUACUCUCCUGCACCAUACUCUGCCAGAAAUGGAUGUUUAAGGAAGCAACCAACCUUCUGUCACCCAUACGGUUCAGGCAGGGCUGGCUCCAGGUGCAUACAAGGCAAACAGUGAAAUGAUUGCCAGCAGCUCCAGUGUAUCUUACUGGUCCUUGUCUUGCUCCUGGAAACUCUAAGGGUGAUGCCAGGGCAUGUGGGAGGCAGGUAGAGAUGGGUAUAGUGAGAGCAGUGUUUCCUUGGUGCUGCAGUUGGGUACAGCUUCCACCUCUUUCUGGAAGCAGGACUUGUCAUCUCAGCUCUCCAGCGUUCUUUGUCCCAGAUUCCCCUUUUUCUCCUUUGCCUCUCCCUUUUUUGCUUUUUUCAUGAGUGCUUCCUGUGCUGAUCAUUUGCUUUGCCUUUGUAUUUUUAAAUGACAUUUAGAAAUGAGAUGCCCCAUGGGCUCUAAAAUAAUGUUUAUCCUGUCUCGUGCAAAUUUAAUCUGUCUCCUGAGAAGAGAGUAGACCAAUGCUUUUAUAUAAAAAUACUAAAGAGCAAAAUGCAGAAUAUCCUUUGAUUCAGUUAAUUGAUAAUGUUAAAAUGGUGGGCCACCAUUUUUGCACAUCACACAUCUAUUGUUUUCUCAACUUCUAAGAAAUAACUGAAGAUUUUCACCCCAGGCUGUGUUCUUUUUUCCCCUCAAGGAGUGCAUUUGCAGUCUUCCUAUUCAUGCAGAAACAGAAGAAUAUUUUUCUGACCAUUUGUUCUUCUUCUUAUGCAAAAUAUUUACAGGAACUGUGUGAAUUAGUCUGAAAUAGUAAUGCUUUUACGCAUACUUCAGACUGAAAACCUAAGUGAAUUUGUCUGCACUGUGAAUUUGCAGCAUGGGAAUCACUCCAGGAGGACCAGUAUAGACAGAAGCUACCAACUAAGCACCUCUGUAGGGACUUGAGACUUUAAAACAAGGCAUGGUCUUCUUAUGAUACUGUACUAAUAAAUUUCAUUUGUUACUAGAACAUUUUUUCAGGUGCUCUGUGCUGACUUAUCUGUACUUUCCUAAAACCAGCUCUUUUGCAGGGAGUUUGGGAAGAUAAAAUGUCACAGGGUAAAGCUAAAGAAAAAGACCCAACAUUUUAAUUUGUGCUUUUUUGAAUAAUCUUAGAUUACUUUGUGCCUCUGUAUGAAAUUGGAUUAAGUUCACAUGAUUAAGUGGCUUGGAUAUCAAACUAGAUAGGAUCUGAUGUCUUGGCAUUUUGAAUUUAUCAGGACUAAACUGUGAAUUAAAAUUUUUUGAGAGAAAUGUAUGGGAGAUGAUAAAAGACAGUUCUGCAAAGAAAUAACCUAGAAAAUAUUUGCCUGAGUCUCUAUGCUGUCUUGUACAGUUGUGAUUGUUACAAGUUGAACAGAUCUCAAAAAAAAUUUAAGAUAGAAGCAGUUACCAAUUGUAUUUUUUUGUUUAUCUAUUAUAUAUAUAUAUAUUUUUCUUUCUGAAAUGUCUUGAUAAGAAGCAGUAAGUGUAAGUCAGGGUCAUAAACCUCUUAUAUUCUGGCACAGUGCAGCAGUGAGAGAGCAAAUUUGAAAGAAAGUGUUAAGCUUUAAAGGUCUGGAGUUUGAUGGGCUGUUAUCUUUUAUCCUUCCAGCACAAAUCUUUAUGCUGACUUCUCCUGUAUCCCUCCAUUCCCUAGGGGAACUUGGGUUCACUCACAUGUUGCUGGACAACAGACAAAGAAGGUCUGUUCAACACGUGUAGAACAGAUGCUAAGGGGAGGAUGGGGGAAUUUUCCAGCGCAGUUACUGUAAUAUCCAUUGCUGCUGUCUUGCUCCCUGCAUAAGCACUGCUGGGCUCUGUGGAGCUAGUCUUGGGGAUUUUCCCAUCUUGGAGACGGGCCACCCAGACAGCAAGCAACCCUUGCAGACUUUUGCAUAUCAAAAAUACUGUGGAGGAUGUCACCUUCUUCCGCACCAAGAGAGCACUUUGGGAGAAGAAUAAAAUAGAUUGAAAUGCUAAAUCGCUCACUUCUCAGAGAUACAGCUUAGAUUAUGUGGGAGCAUGGGGUCAGGAGAAAAUACUUGCCACUCAUGUCCAUUGUAGCAAGAGUAACACAAGCAGGCAUCCCUUUUUGAACUUGUGUUUGAGCAAGUUGUGGACAGCAGGAUGUGAGGAAGCACUAUGAGUCACACUUUCAUCUGAGGUAAGUAGGUAUAUAACAUCUUGUAAAAUAGACAGAUGGAGCUAAAAAUAUUCAAGAAACAGUAACCUCUUUUGGAAGCAGUUGAUCCUGUGGAGUGGGGGCAUAGAUAGGCACUAUGGUUUAUAUUGUGAGGGUGGAAAAGCAAAAGGUCUUAAUGUUUUGUUUGGCACCUCUUACGAUUCUCUUUAACUGACUUUCCUGCCAGGGUGGUCAAACAUAGGUUGAACUGGGGCAACAGCAGAAAAGAUAUGAUGAGAAAUUACUCUGAGGCAUAAGACAUCAGCCAACUGCAUUGAAUUCUUAUUCUGUUGUUUUCAACAGCACGUGGGAGUUCAGCAAAUAAGAACACGAGAGAGAAUAUGCCCUUUCUAAUCAAUGUGUAAUGCUGGAUUCCAACCCAGCCUAGCUAAAGCAGCAAAUGUUUGUUAUGCUACAGCUCACCAGAGGAUCAGAAAUGAAUCAAAAUAAAAAUAUAGUAUACUGCUAUAUAUCACUGUUCCCUAGGCUCUACAAUGGCAUCUGACCAAUGGAGAAAGCAAUCACACUUAAAACCAGCCAUGUGCUAGGCUGCUACAGAGCUGUGUGACUACUGAAUGGCUUCAUCACAGCACAAUAGGGUUCAGUUACUGCUUACAUAAAUCAAACUUUGGGACCCCUGAUUAGAAUGAGGAUUUGGGGACUCACUAAGCGCCUUUUCAGGUAGGGCAAAUAUUUCAAGUGGGGAAAUGCUGGCUGCACAAAGUUCCCAGAACAGGGAGGUUUUUCCCCAACUACUGAAAAUAGCAAAAACUCAUGCCUGGCCUUGACAGUAAACAGAAAUAUCAAUGUGACAUGUAGCAACCUGCCAGAAACUUUACCAUCCAGUCAUGAACGCGGUCCAGGCUGCUUUUCCUUUCUCUGAGGAAAGCUGCGCACAGCUGUGUUUUUGUAUGCAUACAAAUAUAUAUGAUAGGUUAAUGAGUCUAUUUUGUUCUCAAGAAAUGAUGGAAUGAUCUGCUCUGUAGUGUGUUUUGACUCUCCUAGAUCAUCUGGGUUUGUGCAUGUCCAGGGACUACCAAGAUGUUGGCUAAGGUAGAUGAAGCAUUUCCUUGAGCACAUUAGUUGCAGUGUAUGAUUUUGGUUAAGCUGUUUAAAACUGGAAGAAAAGCAUCCAGAGCACUUCUCAGGUGGGCAGUAUCUUCCUAGGUGGAGAGUAUCUCAACCGGCUUGAAAACAUUGCUUGUAUUUUUCUUUGUCGGUAGUCCUACCCUUUGACUUUGGGUUGCUAUGUGAUAUUGAUUAAGGGGAGUAAUUGUGAUAUUCUCAGUUGUUAUAUCAAUUCCUCUCUGAGUUAUCCCAGAAGAUAAUGUUGGAUGCUUGUUCUGCUACAUCUGUUCUUAUUUGCUGCCUUGUUAGGUUAAAAUUUUAGCUGUGCAAGUAACGCAAACUAACCAGCUAGGUCAAAGUCAUUAUGUAUCAUAAAUAACAGCGAAAAAGUUUCCAUAUGAUGUUUUGUUUUUUCCUUCUUUUUCCUGAGGAUAUUGAACCUACAAUGCUGAAUGGAACUUGAAGAUAUUUAAGUAAUUAGUUUGAAAUAUUUUAAAACAGAUAGGCUCAAAGCUGCAGAGUUGCAGUCUGUUUAGGUGUUGUGAUGAAUGUUCAAAAUGUGAGCUCCCUUUACACAAAUCUAGUGACUGAACAGCAAACCUGCUUCGAACACCGUGUUUUUAAUGACCUUGAUGAUUUUUGCUGACAUUAGGUGAAAUUGUUUAGCAGUUUCAGUAAUAAAGAUAGUAAUUAUUUUUAAAAUCUUUCCUAAAAAAAUUGCAAAAACAGUCUUGUAAUGGAGCUGAUAACAAGUAAGAGAGCAAGACUCUAAUGCACAUGGCAAAGAAAACCAAGGGACCACACUAGAAAGAAAAGUUCUAACAUAACAAUAUCCACUAAGAUCAGUAAUGGUGGGAUGGUGGGAAACUCUAAUUUUGUAGAACAUAAGCGUUCUUUGUGGUGUGGAAAUGUGUACAUGUUUGAGUUGGAAAGUCUCUGGAACAUAUUUUCAUAAAAUCAAUAAUAUGGUCAAGUGGCUUUAUUUUUAUGGUUCCCUGGGGCUAUUGCUAUUUUAUAAAGAUUAGUCCAUCGGAAAUCCCAAGCUUCCUGUUUUUAUUAUUCACACCUUAUACUGUGGUUUAGACUAAACUACCCCUUCCUGGUUUUAGAAGACGUUCACUUUGCUGUGGUACUGCCUUCUUAUGUUAUUGCUCUAUUAGAUAUCGUGGUGAGUUUGUGAGUUUAAUUUUGCAGAACAAUAACCUGCAAGUACAGGAUUUUCCCUGUAUUAGUCUGACCUCUUGUUUAAACAUGCGUUCUGCUGCUGCUUUUUAUUUUUUAUUUGGUAAAUAAUAGAACCAUGGUGCUAUUUGGAUUAGUUUUUGUUUUUUGUUUGGUUUUUUUUUUGUUUUGCUUUUAGAUAACCUGCCUUUGAGUCCUUGAAUUGACAAAUAAUGUACUUGUCCGGUUGUUACCAGACUAGCUGAAUUUCAGCUGAUUUGCUCAGUGCUUAAAGUUCCUCUGUGUAAGCAGCUUGGUUGCAAUUCUAGUAUCAACUUAAUGCUGUCCAGAAUGGUUGUGCAUUUAGACACCAUAUAGUUUUGGUUAGAAGAGAUCACCUGGACCUUCUGACACAUCGGCUGCAUUUCUGGGUAUGAUGCUCCCAUUUCAUGUAGUACAGUGAAAAUAUGCAAGUGACACAGCUGGGGUUCAUAUAGAGGAUUCUGGAUUGCCUUUGCUUUUAUGGGAUGUUUUUUGAACUACUUGUAAGUGUAAGCCCCUCUCUCUUUUCCUGCACCCUGUGGUUGGACAUCAAUAUAUAUUAAAAUUUAGGAAUUACUUUUAAAGUUAUUUUUGAGUGUGAUGUGAAUACAUAUCCCUUGGAGGAGAUUUGGUAUCCUCAUGCUUUUGGUAUUACUGCUUUGUCUCUCUUACUGAGACAGGAAAAAAUAAAAAAUAAAAAAGGGAGGGAAAAAAGUUCAUUUGACCCUGAAAUUCCAGAUGCCUGAGAUUAAAAGAAAGGGCUGGGUUAUCCCAUAAUCUAUGCUGGCACUAUAGCUGCUAAGUAAUUUAAUGUGAACG
rnacentral:lncRNA from 1 species